AGGGUUAAAAGCGGACUUGGCAACACCGCAAAUCAGGCAUCGCUAGUUCUGAACUCAUUUUGGCAUAUGGUUACCUCCAUCCUCAUAUUAUUAAUAAACCACUCAUUUCGUAUAAGAUCAAGUGUCUCACGUGUGCUUUUUUUCUUUGCUAAUACAAUCACUUCAUUAAACUAAACUAAGCUGCUGGUUCUCAAGUUAAGAGGAUCUGAUAACGCUUAACCUCACCAAGACUGCGAUCAAUUAGUAGGAGGUUCAUAAUUAAUGAGGAACAGGAGUGAGAUGCGCCGUACCUUCAGCUCCGGCAUGCUGCCAAUCAGCUCGUAGGGCAAACGCACUUCCGGUUGGUUUUUGUAGUCCAGUGGCACGAGCUGGGGAGCUAAAUCACGGUAUCGAUGAAACAGUCUGAACAAAGAUGACAAACAUUCAUUGACAGCUCUCCUCAACUAUUCUUCUAUCACUCCAGUCCAGAUUGGUGAAUGAGGUUGGUCAGUGACAGCCGCAGCUGCCGGCCACCAUGUCAUCAUACUGCUUCAGAACCACGUUCUCAUCGUCGUCAAAGUACAGGAGGUUAAUGCUGAAGAGCUUGUCCGGCACGCAGCAGGGCGUCUCGAUGCCUUUGGUCAGUUUGAGGGCGUUGAUGAUGGACUGGACCGUGGCGUGGUUGGUGGGCCUCAUGUUCUGACCCAGAGGAAAUGGACAGGAGCCUUUGCAGUGGUAAGCGUUGUAUCCACGCGGAGACACGAUCCAGCCGGACCAGCCGAUCUCCUCGAAGUCCACAUAGAGCGGCAGACGCUGACACGGCAUCUUCUCCCCGCUCUCAUCAUAGUCUAUGGAGCGAGCGCUGCGACGAGCCGUAGCUGAGAGAGGGAGGCUGGGAAACGGGAGCCUGGGUCCAACCGGAGAAUCAUCUGAACCUGAAGACAAAGAGGAAACUUUUAGAUGCCAUGGACUAUCCUUGUGCAAGUCAUGCUCAACUUAAAAUAUCCCCAAACUUCUUUGUUUAGGACCAGAUGUAUUUAUUUAAAUCACUCGUGGAGCUUAUUUGAGAUUACUGUGAAGAAACAUCAGUCUAAUUGAGCUGUUAAAGACUUAUAUAUGGCUUACCUUUAGGCGUGAGCUCCAGAGAAGCGGCCCGUCUGCCGUCAUCGGUGAAGAGGACCAGCAUGGGCUGUUUGCUGUGAUGGUGGUUUUGGCCUGAUGCAAA